GAUGAACGCUGGCGGCGUGCCUAAUACAUGCAAGUCGAGCGAACGGACGAGAAGCUUGCUUCUCUGAUGUUAGCGGCGGACGGGUGAGUAACACGUGGAUAACCUACCUAUAAGACUGGGAUAACUUCGGGAAACCGGAGCUAAUACCGGAUAAUAUUUUGAACCGCAUGGUUCAAAAGUGAACGACGGUCUUGCUGACACUUAUAGAUGGAUCCGCGCUGCAUUAGCUAGUUGGUAAGGUAACGGCUUACCAAGGCAACGAUGCAUAGCCGACCUGAGAGGGUGAUCAGCCACACUGGAACUGAGACACGGUCCAGACUCCUACGGGAGGCAGCAGUAGGGAAUAUUCCGCAAUGGGCGAAAGCCUGACGGAGCAACGCCGCGUGAGUGAUGAAGGUCUUCGGAUCGUAAAACUCUGUUAUUAGGGAAGAACAUAUGUGUAAGUAACUGUGCACAUCUUGACGGUACCUAAUCAGAAAGCCACGGCUAACUACGUG
rnacentral:rRNA from 1 species